rnacentral:rRNA from 1 species
AAUCAACGCUGGCGGCGUGCCUCAGACAUGCAAGUCGAACGCGAAAGUCCCCCUCGGGGGACGAGUAGAGUGGCGCACGGGUGAGUAACACGUAGGUAAUCUACCUUCGGGUGGGGAAUAACAAUCGGAAACGGUUGCUAAUACCGCAUAAUGCAGCGGCACCCUAAAUGGUGACAGUUGUUAAAGCGGGGGAGUCGCAAGAUCUCGCGCCUGAAGAGGAGCCUGCGGCGGAUUAGCUAGUUGGUAGGGUAAUGGCCUACCAAGCGACGAUCCGUAGCCGGCCUGAGAGGGC